GUCGCGAGUGUGCUGGCGCUCUCUUACUCUUCGGCGACCUCUCAGGUCACCAUCUUGAGUUGCAAACAUGGCGGAUGGAUCAUGGCAUCCAUCAGUGUAUCAUAAGAUAAGUGGGCAGUCUUCUCUUAUUUCUAAGCAUUCACCCAGCUUGCACAACAGAAAUAAUGCCAUGACUGGUGCACACGGAAAUGGUCAGCAAAACCAUUUGCAUCCUGCACUUCAUGGCACUGGUCUGGCACUUUUGUCACCCCCCUCACCUGUAUUUGUCCAAGCACCAGCUGAGAAAGGUGCUAGUGGCUUUAUGAUUGAUUUCCUUAUGGGAGGAGUCUCAGCAGCUGUCUCCAAGACUGCAGCUGCUCCAAUUGAGCGAGUUAAACUGCUGAUUCAAAAUCAGGAUGAGAUGAUCAAGGCCGGUCGAUUAUCUGAACCAUACAAGGGAAUCACUGAUUGCUUUGCUAGAACCAUCAAAGACGAAGGUGUACUUUCUCUUUGGAGAGGCAAUACUGCUAAUGUUAUCAGAUACUUCCCCACCCAGGCUCUGAACUUUGCAUUCAAAGAUUACUUCAAGAGGUUGUUUAACUUCAAGAAGGACAGAGAUGGCUACUGGAAGUGGUUUGCGGGGAAUUUGGCAUCUGGUGGAGCAGCUGGUGCUUCAUCCCUUCUAUUUGUUUAUUCCUUGGAUUAUGCUCGAACACGGUUGGCCAAUGAUGCAAAGGCAGCUAAAAAGGGCGGUGAGAGGCAGUUUAAUGGUUUGGUUGAUGUUUACAGGAAAACCAUUAAAUCAGAUGGUAUUGCUGGUCUAUAUCGUGGAUUUAACAUAUCUUGUGUUGGAAUUAUUGUGUACCGUGGGCUCUACUUUGGAAUGUAUGAUUCUCUUAAACCUGUUGUUCUGGUUGGUAAUUUACAGGAUAGUUUCUUGGCUAGUUUCUUGCUGGGAUGGGGAAUCACAAUAGGUGCUGGAUUGGCCUCUUACCCUAUUGAUACAGUUCGAAGAAGGAUGAUGAUGACCUCUGGAGAAGCUGUGAAGUACAAGAGCUCUUUGGAUGCGUUUUCACAGAUUGUCAAGAAUGAAGGUUCAAAAUCCCUCUUCAAGGGAGCUGGUGCAAACAUCCUGCGUGCUGUGGCAGGUGCUGGUGUGCUUGCUGGUUAUGACAAACUUCAGCUCAUUGUCUUUGGCAAGAAAUAUGGAUCUGGUGGUGGCGGCUAAUAUGGUUACUAGUUAUGAUGAUGAUGAUGAUGAAGAGUGAUGCUUGUUUAGGUUAUAUUUUCAAGUUGAAUAACUUUUGGAGGAACGUUAGUGAUCCCAGUAUUUAGGGAGUUGAUAUAAAGCGUAUAGUUGCCUAGAACACUUUCAAUUUUGAAUGUUGUUAGAUGGUCUUUAUUUUGUUGUGUGUGUUCUUUGAGUGAGAAUAAUUAGACAAUGUUCCUUUGGACUGGGCUUAUUUUGUAAUAGUGUAGUGUUUCCUAAAAUUAAAUAUAUCUUUCAAUGUUGUUUCAAAUAUGACGCCUCUGCAGGUUUGGUUCAAUUUUCUAUCAUGUGAUUGAUCCGGCAUCUUCAGUACGAGAUCGGUCGAAAACUUGAUCCCGUAUUAUUAAACAUCUGGAGUACAUGAUCCUGUAUUACUAAGCUCUGGCACAAGACGACCAUUCAAUGUGUAUACCAUUAGCUCAGCGACUAAAGUUU
rnacentral:misc_RNA from 1 species